AGAUUGAACGCUGGCGGUAGGCCUAACACAUGCAAGUCGAGCGCGAAAGUGCCUUCGGGUGCGAGUAGAGCGGCGGACGGGUGCGUAACGCGUAGGAAUCUGCCUGGUAGUGGGGGAUAACUCGGGGAAACUCGAGCUAAUACCGCAUACGCCCCAUGGGGGAAAGCGGGGGACCUUCGGGCCUCGCGCUAUCAGAUGAGCCUGCGUCGGAUUAGCUAGUUGGUAGGGUAAUGGCCUACCAAGGCGACGAUCCGUAGCUGGUCUGAGAGGAUGAUCAGCCACACUGGGACUGAGACACGGCCCAGACUCCUACGGGAGCAGCAGUGGGAAUAUUGGACAAGUGGGGGCAACCCGUGACUCCAGCCAUACCGCGUGUGUGAAGAAGGCCUUGGGUGUAAGCUACUUCGAGUAGGGAGGUAAAGUUGACCGGCGAACGUACCCGGCGACCGUGACGCUACCGUGCAGAAGAAGCGACCGGCAACGUCCGUGCCGAGCAGCCGA
rnacentral:rRNA from 1 species